rnacentral:rRNA from 1 species
CCUGGUGCCCAUAGCGAGGGGGAAACGCCCGAUCCCAUUCCGAACUCGGAAGCUAAGCCCCUCAGCGCCGAUGGUACUGCGG